CAUCUAUCCUCUCGCUGGCCCAGGAGGGAGGUUUUGCCUUUGAUCAAGACAGCUCUGUUUCAAGGAAACAUCACGCUGUUUUGCAGGGAAUUCUGGUUCCUUUGGCUGCGUUAACAGUGUGUUUCACAGAGUUUCCUAUCUCCCCAUUUUUUGAUUCAUCCACAUAACAUAAAAAGAAACGCAUACACUUUCUUCCCUGGCUUAAUACAUCCUGACCUGCUCCUGAAAAGAACUCUACACAUAAUCUAUCCAUGUUAUUAAAUAUGAAGAACUCACAACAGUAAGUAUGUCGCAGUAAUCUUUUGUUGCCCCUGGUUACUGCUGGUACAACCCUUUCAGCCUCAAGAGAAACUAGAUUACAACUUGUCUGUCAAGACUGAGGUUUAUUUUAUGCAACAUGUGUGAUAGCUGAGUAACCUGUGUUGUAAUUAUUGAAAUGAUUACCCUACCCAUGAGCAGCUCAUGUGGCCAGGAGACCUUCACAUCUUUUUGCUGAUUACGUACCUUCUACAGCAAAGACAAAUGGUGGUAACUAAUACUAAUGCAGCUGGGUAUGAGGGCAAAACAGUACUGUAGUACUCAGGAUGCAUCAAGCCAGUCCAGCGUAGGUCUGCUGUCAAUAACAUGGAGGCUCAAUAUGGAUUCAAUGAUAUUAGACUAAAUUCCCUAUCUCCUCUUUUUUUAUUCUUAUUUUAUUUACUAAGAGGGUGGUGAGACACUGGCACAGCAACUCUGAGAUUGCCCAGAGAAGCUGUGGCUGUCCCAUCCAUGGCAGUGUUCAAGGCCAGGUUGGAUGGGGCUUUGAGCAGCCUGGUAUAGUGGAAGGUGCUCUGCCCAUGGCAGGGAGGUUGGAACUAGAUGAGCUUUAAGGUCCCUUCCAACUGAAACCAUUCUGUGAUUCUAUGAUUACUAUUUAGAAUGCAGUCAAAAAAAAAAUAAUAAUCUUUUGAUCAAGACUGUUGCUUUCCCCCUUUGGUUCCUUUCUUGAGGGAAACCAUCUUAGAUCAGCAGGCAACAGUGGAAUAGAGCACAAUGAAGUGAACAGAAACCCUUGAUUUCAGGUAGCUGAAUCUCAGUAAUGACCAGAUCUUAAGGUCUCUAUUUAGGCUCCAUCAGACCGAGUGCAUUUAAACUUGUCCAUACAAACAUAACUUGCCCAGUUUACAACUCCAACAGUGGAAUCUAAGCAGACAAUUUCAGGGGUGGGCAGGAAGAGCAGCUGGCAGAGUCAAGGCAGCCAGGUAGAGCAGAGCAGUUACCAGUGGAAUUGUCUUACAGUUUGUUUGAGUCCAUGUGCUCAUGUAGUCACACAUUAGAGACCACCUGAAAUUAAUUUGCUGCUGGAAGGUGAGAUGCAUCAAUAAAUCAGGUUCCUUGUCAUUCUGUGGGUUAACAAGUAUGGAAAAAACAUAAGAUUCUCAUUCCUCACUGGCUGUGUUUAUAUUUCAUUUCUUUUUGAGAACAGAUGCAGAUGUGGACAUAAAGGGAUUUAUCUUUUAUCUUUAUGUCAGGCUGCACCUAGAAUACUGUGUUCAGUUUUGGUCCCCAGUAUACAGGAAAGAUGAGGACAAGCUGGAGAGGGUCUAGAGAAGGGACGCAAAGAUGAUCCACAGACUGGAAAGCCAUAUGAGGAAAGUCUGAGAGAACUGGGUUUGUUUGGCCUUAAGAAAAGGUGUCUCAUAGGAGACCUUAAUACCAUGUUCCAGUAUUGAAAGAGCAGCUACAUGGAAGAUGGAGACUCCCUUUUUGCAAGGAGUCACAUGGAAAAGAUGAGGGGCAAUGGGCACAAGUUAAUCCUGGGGACAGUCCAGUUGGACACAAGAGGAAAAUUUUUCACAAUGAAAACAGCCAUUGGAAUAAUGUCCCCAGGGAAGUGGUGGAUUCCCCAACACUGGACACGUCUAAGAUUUGGCUGGACAGGGUGCUGGGACAUCUAGUCUAGACCAUGCUUUGCCUAGAAAGGUUGGACCAGAUGAUCUUUGAGGUCCCUUCCAACCUGGGAUUCUAUGAUUCUAUGACGCUGGGCUCUCUGGAACAGGGCAGACAGAUAGCGGUUCCCUGGCCCUUGGGGUUAGGGAUCACAACCAGGCUGCUGCAGGUUCUGUACACAAAAUAUAAUGU